GAUGAAGAACGUAGCGAAAUGCGAUAAGUAGUGUGAAUUGCAGAAUUCAGUGAAUCAUCGAGUCUUUGAACGCACAUUGCGCCCCCUGGUAUUCCGGGGGGCAUGCCUGUCCGAGCGUCAUUGCUGCCCUCAAGCACGGCUUGUGUGUUGGGCCUCCGUCCUCCUCCCGGGGGACGGGCCCGAAAGGCAGCGGCGGCACCGCGUCCGGUCCUCGAGCGUAUGGGGCUUCGCCACCCGCUCUUGUAGGCCCGGCCGGCGCUUGCCGACACAUCAAUCUUUUUUCCAGGUUGACCUCGGAUCAGGUAGGGAUACCCGCUGAACUUAAGCAUAUCAAUAAGCGGAGGA
rnacentral:misc_RNA from 1 species